CGGGGUGCAGCAGGCGCGAAAACUCUACAAUGCAGGCAACUGCGAUAGGGGGACAUCGAGUGGCAUCCACCUUGGGUGCCUGUCCCACCGUCUAAAAAACGGUGGUUAGCAAGGGUCGGGCAAGACCGGUGCCAGCCGCCGCGGUAAUACCGGCGGCUCGAGUGGUGGCCGAUAUUAUUGAGUCUAAAGGGUCCGUAGCCGGCUUUGCAAGUCCCCUGGGAAAUCCAGCGGCUUAACCGUUGGGCUUUCAUGGGAUACUACAUUGCUUGGGACUGGGAGAGGUAGGAGGUACUCGGGGGGUAGGGGUGAAAUCCUGUAAUCCCCCGGGGACCACCGGUGGCGAAGGCGUCCUACCAGAACAGGUCCGACGGUGAGGGGCGAAAGCUAGGGGCACGAACCGGAUUAGAUACCCGGGUAGUCCUAGCCGUAAACGAUGCCCGCUAGGUGUCACGGCGGUCGUGAAUCGCCGUGGUGCCGUAGGGAAGCCGCGAAGCGGGCCACUUGGGAAGUACGGCCGCAAGGCUGAAACUUAAAGGAAUUGGCGGGGGAGCACAAGGGCGAUUCGCGG
rnacentral:rRNA from 1 species